GCGCCCGUAGCUGAGCCAGAUUUAGCACCACUCCGAUGAGACUGUGUCUCGGAACGGUGGGGACCCAGGUUUAAAUCCUGGCGGGCGUA
rnacentral:tRNA from 1 species